rnacentral:tRNA from 1 species
CCCGUUAACCUAGUGGUUAAGGCUACGGAUCGCCAAUCCGGAGACGGCGGGUUCGAUUCCCGUUCCCGGGA